AGCAGCCGCCACGGUAACACGUAGGUGGCAAGCGUUGUCCGGAAUUAUUGGGCGUAAAGGGCUCGCAGGCGGUUUCUUAAGUCUGAUGUGAAAGCCCCCGGCUCAACCGGGGAGGGUCAUUGGAAACUGGGAAACUCGAGUGCAGAAGAGGAGAGUGGAAUUCCACGUGUAGCGGUGAAAUGCGUAGAGAUGUGGAGGAACACCAGUAGCGAAGGCGACUCUCUGGUCUGUAACUGACGCUGAGGAGCGAAAGCGUGGGGAGCGAACAGGAUUAGAUACCCGUGUAGUCCCUGUCUCUUAUAC
rnacentral:rRNA from 1 species